rnacentral:rRNA from 1 species
GACGAACGCUGGCGGCGUGCUUAACACAUGCAAGUGGAGCGACGAACCGGGGCUUGCCCCGGGGCAGAGCCGCGAACGGGUGAGUAACACGUGGGUAACCUACCCUGGUGACCGGGACAACCCGAGGAAACUCGGGCUAAUACCGGAUGUGCCCCUGAUCCUCAAGGAUCUUGGGCAAAGGUAGCUUUGGCCUCCGCACCGGGACGGGCCCGCGGCCCAUUAGCUUGUUGGUGAGGUAACGGCUCACCAAGGCUUCGAUGGGUAGCUGGUCUGAGAGGACGAUCAGCCACACUGGGACUGAGACACGGCCCAGACUCCUACGGGAGGCAGCAGUGGGGAAUCUUGCGCAAUGCGCGAAAGCGUGACGCAGCAACGCCGCGUGGGGGAAGAAUGCCUUCGGGUUGUAAACCCCUUUCAGUUGGGACGAAGCUUCGUCGGUGAAUAGCCGGCUGGAGUGACGGUACCUUCAGAAGAAGCUCCGGCUAACUACGUGCCAGCCGCCGCGAGUAAAAC